rnacentral:tRNA from 1 species
GCCUUGCUGGCUCAGUUAGUAGAGUAUGUGACUCUUGAUCUCAGGGUCUUGAGUUCAAGCCUCAUUUUGGGCA